rnacentral:snRNA from 1 species
AUCGCUUCUCGGCCUUUUGGCUAAGAUCAAGUGUAGUAUCUGUUCUUAUCCCUUAACAAAGGGACUUCUUGACAGGCUUUCCAUGUCUUAAAAAAUGUUUUACUUUGUUAAAUCAUUAAUACACAUUUUAAAUGGCUUUUAUCAGAUUGGUUUUUACAAAAAAGGGUAC